rnacentral:misc_RNA from 1 species
CUUUGAACUAAACCCUAAGCACCCAAGUAGUCCUUGUCUAUAAGGCAGAAAGGUCUUCUUCUUCAUCUCCUCAGCCUGUGCUUUACUUGCCAACUCGUGAGGUGAUGUUGGUACCCUUCUCUUCCCUACCCCAUUCACUGGCUUCUUGCCUGAAGCCAUUCCACUUCCCUUCACUUUCUGAUUCUCCAUAGACACAGCUGGGGCAGUGCCAACCUUCUCUUUUGUUGUGGCAGGGCAGGAACUUGCGCACCUGCUGUGCUCAUGGACUUCUUUUCCUUUGCUGGUGAAAAAGAUAUGUUAGACCAGAACUUGUUAUUGCUCCUCCCUUCACUUUUGCUUCUGUAAAGAAAAUCUUUCAAGAAUACCCAUCUUUUUGAGUUCCUUCCAGCUGAUGAUGACCUAGAAGAAGAUGCAGAAACUGAUGGAGUUGCUGCCUCCUCAGUCUUUAUGUUUCCAUCAGCUUCCAAACAAGAACUCUCACAAGAUUCACCAGUGGAGCCAUCGAUCUGGUUCUUUUUGCUAUCUUCGUC